AGCUUUGCGGAAUGGCGAUAUCGUAACUAAUGAGGUCCAACCGAGCAGCGAUUAUUGCUAGUUGAAAACUAAGACAGACAAGACAUCGAACGAGACAGUUUGGUUUUGUCUGGCAUGUCUGCUGCCCAUCUUGAAGC
rnacentral:snRNA from 1 species